UACGUAGGGUGCGAGCGUUAAUCGGAAUUACUGGGCGUAAAGCGUGCGCAGGCGGUUGAUUAAGUCUGAUGUGAAAGCCCCGGGCUCAACCUGGGAAUGGCAUUGGAGACUGGUCAGCUGGAGUGUGGCAGAGGGGGGUGGAAUUCCGCGUGUAGCAGUGAAAUGCGUAGAGAUGCGGAGGAACACCGAUGGCGAAGGCAGCCCCCUGGGCCAACACUGACGCUCAGGCACGAAAGCGUGGGGAGCAAACAGG
rnacentral:rRNA from 1 species